rnacentral:lncRNA from 1 species
AUGAUAUUUGCUGACCUUGUGUAUGUAUAAUUGGUGGCUGGAUCCUGGUCAGUCACGCCUCCAAGCGGUGGUGUUCCGCAUGUGGAUUUUGGGGGUGUGACAUAGCAAAUAUUGAUUAUGAUGCAUUGAACUACUGAUUGUGUCGCACCGAAAGUUGACGCGCUGAAAAACUGAAUGUGAACUACUGAAUGUGAUUAUGUGACGCACUGAAUGUGAACUGACUACGCAUUGAACUACUGAAUGUGACGCACUGAAGGCGUACAUUUUCCUUCUUAUGUACGUUAGGUUGCAAGGAUUGUCGGGAAGACUUGGAUGGAUGGUUCGAGGGAUUAAAGACGCACAUGGAUUUUUUUUUUAAAGUUUAAAUUGUUUUGUACAAUAUUUCGACUUUUUGAAAUAAUGUAAAAGUUUUAUUAUUUAUUAAAUGAUGUUCU